rnacentral:tRNA from 1 species
GGGAAUGUAGCUCAGCUGGUUAGAGCACAGAUCUUAUAAGUCUGCGGUCGCGGGUUCGAGUCCCGCCAUUCCCACCA